GCAAGAAAAAAAUAAAUAAAUAAAAAGGAAAAAGGGGAAAAAAAGUUAUCAA
rnacentral:ribozyme from 13 species